AUUGAACGCUGGCGGCAUGCCUUACACAUGCAAGUCGAACGGUAACGCGGGGCAACCUGGCGACGAGUGGCGAACGGGUGAGUAAUAUAUCGGAACGUGCCCAGUAGUGGGGGAUAGCCCGGCGAAAGCCGGAUUAAUACCGCAUGAGACCUGAGGGUGGAAGCGGGGGAUCGCAAGACCUCGCGCUAUUGGAGCGGCCGAUAUCAGAUUAGGUAGUUGGUGGGGUAAAGGCCUACCAAGCCGACGAUCUGUAGCUGGUCUGAGAGGACGACCAGCCACACUGGGACUGAGACACGGCCCAGACUCCUACGGGAGGCAGCAGUGGGGAAUUUUGGACAAUGGGCGCAAGCCUGAUCCAGCCAUGCCGCGUGCGGGAAGAAGGCCUUCGGGCUGUAAACCGCUUUGUCAGGAGAAAUCUUCUGGUUAAUACCUCGGGUAGGAUGACGGUACCUGAAGAAUAAAGCACCGGCUAACUACGUGCCAGCAGCCGCGGUAAAACGUAACUACUA
rnacentral:rRNA from 1 species